UAAGGAUUUAUAACAAAUUU
rnacentral:miRNA from 1 species